rnacentral:lncRNA from 1 species
UCAAACAAAUUUGAAACGGCCUAUCACAUAGCUCAAUUAUCAUAGGCUUAGGUUCAUAAUCACCCUUUAAUUAAUUAACACUUUAACUAAUUAAACUUGAAUGCAACAUUUUCAUUUGGUUUUUGUAUCCAUAAAAUUGAUUUAAAUGGAGCUAAAUGAAAUAAAAAUCCAAUUCUCAUUUAAAGAGACAAAACAAUUUUGUUCUCAACCUAAUUUGGGCCAAAAUGCAAUUACCACAACUUUUGGGCCAUAUUGCAAAAAAAUAAACUUUUGGGGUCACUUUGUAAAAACACGAAAGUCCACUACUUCAUGUAAUUACAACUAGAACCCAAAUUUAAACAAUGCAAAAACUUCAUUAAAGGACCAAAACAAUUUGUCCUUUAGCGUUUUUGGACCUAAACGUAAAAACGUAAACUUUUGGGCCAAAGUGCAAAUACACAAAAGUAUCAAAACUUUAUGUAAUUGCAUAAAAGCCCCAAAAGUACUCCCUUUGAGGGAGUGGCCGGUUAUAGGAAGCAAAGGGAGUGAUGUGUGUGUUGAUUUGUAGUUUUAGACAUAAAGCAUGCAAGUGGUGCAUGACAUAAAUGUCAUGCAAGUGGUGUGUGUGAAAGGAAAUUAAUCCUUUCACACCCACCAAUAUUUCUUACACCUUUUAAAUAAAUAUCUAAUACAUUUAAAUAUAUGAUAAAUCAUAAAACAAAAACUUUAUGAAAUAAAUCAAAACUUUGAAUCAAAACACCAAACUUUUUGUUCUUGGCAAAAAUGUCAAGAACAAUGAAGAACACUCAUGAAAAACUCAAAAAUUUCCAUGAACAUUUUUUCACCCAAAAAACAUCCCAAAACCACUCAAACUUUAGGGAAAUAACAUAUAACCAAAAACUAGGGUACAUAGGGGUUCCAAAAGUCACUUGAAAACACUUUUAACAAGUCAAACAAGAACCCAAAAAUCCACCCUUUGGAUUUGGCCGAAUUUUCCCAAAAACAUGGCACCAAAUUUUAGCUCCAAUAUUCAUGCUCAUAUGAACUACAUCUACAACAUUUGAGAUGGCAAAUUUUCUAACAAAAUUUACAUUCAAAGAAACAAGAAUAAAGCUUGUAACAUAUUACAACUUUUAAAUCAAAACUAUGAACUACAAAACCCAAAAGGAUUCACCAACUACUAGACCUAGGCUCUGAUACCACUUGAAGGAAAGAUUUUGUGAAAACAUGUUCAUUUGAGCAACAUCUAUAAGCAUGCAAUUAACAAUUAAAGGCGGAAUCAUGCUUAGCAUGCACCCAAAAACAAAACAAUACCCAUGAAAUUCAAAGCCUAGUAGAUUGGUGAACCAAGACUCAACUCAAAUCAAAGUUGAGUUGAGAAAUUUAUACCUUUGUAGAUUCCUCUUUGCAUAAGCAAAGGCUAAUCACCCAAAGAGAGGGCCUUCAUUCCUUGCUUCUUAAAUCCAUGGAUUUGGAUGGAAGAAUAGAUUCUCCAAGUUCCCAAAAUUGAGAACCUCUAAGUUUCCACACCAAGGAUGGAUUGAUGAAGAAAUGAGUGACCUAGAGGAAGCAAGAUUGCUAGUUAAUUUCCUCUAGGGGUGGCCGGCCUCUUUAGAGAGAAAAGAGAGCUUUGUGUUUCGCAUCUUUUCUCCAAAAGAAAACCCCUUAAUGAAUUUAGGCUAUAAAGUCCUUUAUAUAGUUCCCUUCAAAUAAGUGACCUAAAGAACCAAAAAGCCAUUCUUCUAACAUGGCCGGCCACAAGGGUUUUAUUGGGCUUUUGGGCCUUUUGUGAAUUAAGUUGUCAUACAACUUAAGUCAAUGGGCUUGACGUUCGAAGCCCAUUGGGCCUUGAGGCCCAAAACUAACCCGUGGUCUUUUUCACGAACUUAUUCGUUUGAUUAAUUAACAUAUUAAUUAAUCCUUGCCAUAAAAUAAUUAAACCAUUUAAUUAUUCUUACUCAUCUCCGUUGUUUCUUCAAUCUUUACCUUACACGGUGUACGAUCCAUUAGGUUCCUUUUAGCGAGGCAGUGGGCGAUUAGAACUCUUUCAAACCGAUUGUGAAUUGAAACUUACUUUCAAUUCUCCCUUUAGUGAUUAUACACGUUUAGGACUUCCACAAACCAUGAGUGACACCUAGCAGCAUAUCAUGGUUACCCAAGCUAAUCAGAAGAGGUGGAGAACCUAUUCAGUUUAGGAUUACAAAUGCAAUACGGUCUUUCUCUCUAAUACAAUACUCUUGAGCACAUUGUUUGGUUUUGAUAGUUUAUUCAUGUCUACUAUCCAAUGUGAUUCGUUUACUUAUAUGAUUACCUUGAAUGUGAUUUGGAACGCCUUCCUAAAUCUCAUUCAUACUCUUGAUCAAAGAUUUUCAAUCAUAUCAUAGAGUAUUCUCCCCCAAACGGUUGAAGGUUAGAGAUCCCUUGUUGCGCAUUCAAUUGCCUCCAUGGCUAAGUGGCUUAACCCCAACGAUGCCGUGGACACCCGUGGAUGGGGGUGACUUUGACAUAAUCAAAGAUCAAGGACUUAACCACAAGACAACUUGUGAUGCCUCAGGUCAAAGGACUACUUUGCAUUAUCCCAACCAUGAGUUCUCAUGUGACAUGAAUAUGAGAACUCUUCGUUGAUCGUGUUCAGUGAACUCAUUCUCUAUUGAGCACCUACGUACUUGUCUUGAUGUCACACACACCAAUGAUUCGAGACUAGUCACUCUCCUUGAGAGAAGACACAGCACGUACUGAUCUUAACGGACUGUCAAUGCCCAAUUGGCAAUCCUAUGAUCAGGAACGUUUAGGAUGUGUCUACGAAAGAAUGGUCUCAUGAAUCUAACUUCUUUAGAUUGCAUUCUCCCAAUCACAUAUUCCUUGGACUUAUUGUUUAAGCAUAUAACAUUUAUAUGAGACGGGAUCAAACAAUAAUCUUUGCCUUUAUAUUUAAACUACAUUAGUUUAACUUUGUGAAAUGUCCGUAAAGUAUCAUCAUAUGAUUGGUUUUAGGGCACAUUUCCAUCAAUUAUCAAGACCAUCUUAAUAAUGUUUUCGGAAACCCAUAUUAUGUCCAAACAUUGAAUCACCAUUUAGUUGUAGCUAGCAAUUUCGAAUUAAUUGAAACCAAGACUAUCUCAAAGAUGGUUUCUUUAAAGUCAACCAUUCUCUUUGAUUGUAGUCACCUUAAGCUACCAAUUAGCUUAUGAAGGUUUCAUUAUUUCGGGUCAAAUGGUACUUUACCAUUUCCUUGAGUAUUGUCAUAUAUACACUCAAUGUAGUCAUAAGGAUUUUCAUUCUUAUUUCUUUCGAAUUAAGAGGUGCAACUCUAUGACAUAGUCAUAAAGUUCAAACCAUUCAAUUGAGACGGUUUAUAAAUCCUUCUCGACUACCAUGGAGCUUUUGGUAUAGGAACUAGGUUGUUAUAUUUGUUGAUUAUUAUCUUGUCUCUCAAAGAACCCAUUCUUUGAGUUCUAUCUCUCUUCAUUUGCACUUAGGCAAAUCAUAUUGUAAGAUUACAAUGAACUACCCAACAAAACAACAUUUGUUAGUUGGUUUAUAGAAGCGAUAUCCAAAAGUUAAUUUAAGGAUAUCCCACAAGAUUGUUAUCAAACAAAUAUUGCUUAUUUAGGAGCACAACCCCAAAUCUUAACAUGCUUGAGAUUUGUCUUUCUUUCCAACUACAUCUUAUGGAGUCAUGAAAAUUUUGGACGAUCUUCUAAUUGACAAUCAUAUUGUCUUAGAAGCAUAUCUCCUAUAUAUGGGUAAUUGAUAACAUCCAACAAACUAAAUCUUAUUCAAGUUCGUUUUCUUCUCCUAAUGGAGAAAUCCAUUAUUCUUUGAUGCUUCUUUCCUUGAUAUCUUUCAAGGAAACUCAUCUAAAGUGUUACCUUUCCUUGGAUCAAAUCUAAUGAGGUCAAUACUUUAGAUGUCUUACUCAUCAACUUACAUUUCUUGAAUUCUUUGAAACCUUUUGCAAAGUAUUCGGACUUGUGUUUAUUCAAAAUAAAACUAUAGUCCAACUGAGAGUGAUCUUCGGGAAUGUCAUACAACAUGAGUAGUAUUAUGUUGUGGACAAGUGCCACUAACAUCUAAGUGAAUUAACCUCAACAACUUUGUGAUUCUUUCUUCUUUCCAAAAGAAUAAAGAUUCGAACAUUUCGCCUCUAUACAAUUUUUAAUAAGAAGGUAUUGGAUCCGUAUCUAACGAUCCAAAGCAUCCAUCUAUAACCAACUCGUGUUUUAUGUUUUCGAGGUAUCACAACUCAGUUGGGAUUAGUCACUACCUUGCAACCUUUUGGGUUUUAAGCAUCGUUAUCUUCUAAACAGUUAACACUACCAUAUCAUCUCUACUGUAGAGAUAAUUUAUUAGAUUACAAUAAUCUAAUCAUUCAUUAAUAAAGAACAAUGUUUUGUCAAACAAAACAUUCAUCCAUCCCUUAUAUUGAUGGAAUUAAGUUCCUUAAAAUUGGAAUGUAAAGACAAUCUUUUUGUUUUUCCAAUUUCUUUGGUAGUUCAUAUGAGGAAGUAAGUACCAUCUGCUUUCACAGAGAUCUACAUUUGAUUCACGUUCCGAAUGUAAAGUACUUUCUCUUCUCUCAUUAAUCUUCUACUUCUUAUUAGCCACACUUUUACAACGAUUGUACAUAGUUACUAUUACGGAAUCAAGCAUUCAAGUAGGAGAACCAACUGUUUUGAACUAUUCAAGAACAAUUUACAACACCUUCGAAAGGUGUGUUCUUGACACUUGCAAGACAUUUCUUGCAAAUACCCCUUCCAAUGUCCAUCCUUUCAUAAAGAAAGUUUGUUCCCUUGGAGUUAUUUCGCUUUCUUCAUUUGACUUUCUCUUUGACUACAAUAGUCAUGGUCCCUAAACUCCCACUAUCUCUUUGAAACUUAUUUCAAUUGUGUUAUACACAUCCAACGAUUUGGAGAGUGUGUGGUUAUUGUUAACUAUAUAGUUACAAUAAACUUAGUGAACCAUUUGGAUAGGGACACAAAGGUGAAGUCCUUGCCUAGUUUCCAUUGCUAGAAGUGGUUUAACACCUCAACACNGGAUGUGUACAAUGUCAAAUUCAUGUGCCUAUACAGAGAGUCUCAGCCAAAUCACUCCAUUCGGUCACCAAACCAUGGCCGUUCAGAGGAUGGGCCCUAGAUGUAAUCGGUAAAAUUACACCACAUUCCAGGUCAACAAAGCAUGCGUGGAUACUUGUUGCAAAUAUUACUUCACCAAAUGGGUCGAAGCCAAGUCAUAUGCCGAGUUAAUGUCUAAAGAAGUUUGUAAUUUUGUAGAAGAAAACAUCAUGACUAGAUUCAGCAUACCAGAAACAAUCAUAACAGAUAAUGGUACGAUCUUUACAUCUGACAGGUUUCAGGAGUAUAUGGCAAAUCUAAAAAUUUGACUCAACAGUCUACACCGUAUUACCCGCAGGUGAAUGGACAGGCCGAAGCAAGUAAUUAGGUUUUAAUCGGUAUUCUCGAGAAAAUGGUAAAAGAAAGGCCUGGUAUGUGGCAUUUAAAAUUAAACAAAGCAUUAUGGGCUUAUCGAACUUCACUCUGAUCAACCACCGGAACUACUUCAUAUGCGUUAACCUAUAGCCACGAUGCUAUGUUACCGGUGGAGCUAAGUAUAAACUCGUUGCGAGUGAUCGAACAAAGCAGUUUGUUCAGUGCUGAAUAUAGUCGAGCCAUGAGACAAGAGUUAAAACAUUGGAAGAAACUUGGCUUAACGCUUAUAAUUUAUUGGUGGCAUAGAAAAAAAUUACCGAGCGAGCUUAUAAUCAGUGAGUUAGACAAAAAAUGUUUGGAUAGGGUGCGUUGGAUUGGCAAACUGUGCUGCCCGUAGGGAUUAAAGACCCUAGGUUCGGCAAAUGGUCGCCGAAUUAGGAAGUACCGUUUGUCAUUCACAAAGUUCUCGUCAAGGGGGAAUACCACCCACCUCAAGGAUUGGACAAGUUUAAUUCACAAGUUGACAAUCAACAAGAAAUUUUUAAAGAAAUACUAUCCAAUCACUUGGGAGAUGAGAGAAUAAAAGAUCAUUUCAUUGAUUUUGCAAGGGGACGUACAUGUGAAGUUACAAAAGAUUCCUAAAACCCACAAUCCUAAGGGGUCUAAGGGAGGAAGGCUUCAAGAAAGGCCUUUAGUUCCAACGACCUUACUUUGCCCAUGGUGACUUCAGCUUCCCUCGUCCUUAUAUUAAGCUAAAGUUGCUGGAUCUACCUUGCGCCAACCGCGAAGUCCGUUAGUCGAGCCUUAUUUGCUUCAAAAUUCUUUUCGAGGUCCGAAGCAACAACCAAGCUUUGUCGUUAAAGUUUGGCAAUUUGACAUUGUAGCUCGGCAAUUUGAUGAUCAAAGUUGGCCAACUGCGUUUUCUUUACUUUAAUGGCCUCAACAUCCGACCAACUAACUUCGUGAGAGGUUUUGGCAGCCUUUAGGUCAUCUUCAGCCCGGAGAGCCUUUAGGUCAUCACCAGCUGCAAGAGCAUUCAGACACUCUCCUACAGAGUCAAUGCCUUUACAUUAAAGGAUUUGUGAGGCAAAAAUGGAUAAAAGCUCUUGCAAUUUGGCGAAGGCAUUGGAUUCAACCUCGGUUGCAGAAGGCCCAACACGGUAAAUGACCCAACUACUCUAGAAGUAUUCGAGAUGAGAACUUCGAGCGUGGUUUCCCAUCAAGGCUACACAUGAAAAGGUUUUAGGCGAAAGGAAAAUCAUAAAGAAUAUAACAGAGAGAAUUUGUUUUAGACCUACCGAGAGGAGACUUCGACCAUGUCCUUUGGUUCAUUGCUCAAACCUAGAGAGCUUAAUGGUCAAGCCCAGUGUUUAAGACUGCUUCUCAAUUCACGCGGCCAAUGAAGGUUAUCUACGUUCACCGAUGACGGAGGUGGCCAAGAAAUAUAGAUAACACCCUUCGGCGCAUAGAAUUUUCAGUGAAAUGAAUAAUCGGGCACCUGACAUUUAAUAUUUUUCUUGAUUCAGACUUGUUUUGGUAAAAUCAAUGAAAGAAAGGGAUCGAGACUUACAAAGACCGAAGUAACUUCUGGGGAGGAAUGCCAUGGUCUUGAUCCUGCAGAUGGAUUGGUGUCUCCACCGUCGCUUCAGGCUCUACAAGUGACCUUUUUUUACGAUCGGCUACAAGAGGAUCAACUUGGUGAAUCGUCUCAACCACAGCUGGAAGGUUAGUGGUAGGGGGUUUAGUUGGUCAAAGGUGGCUCUUUAGCAGGAUUUCUUCGCUGUCGUCGUCAUGAAAUAAGAAUUGUUUAGUAUUUGAAAUUUAGUUGAAGGAAAAGUUACCAGCAACAUAAUCAUACCUCUUCCUCCAGAACGACCAUUAUUUUUGUUUUUGGAUUAGGGGAGAGAUUUUUCUCGACCAAGGUGGUCGUUUCCUCCAAGACAGUAGCAACAGCCGACCCUAAAGCUGCAAGUUCCUUGACCAUCGAUCAAUGGUCAGCUUGACCAUGACUUGUUUAACGAGACGAACCUCAGGAGCUUGACCGGUAGGGGGUUUUGUUUACGAAUGUCGAUGCUCCAAUGGCAGGAGCGCGAAGAGACUCAGUGGUUGCUCAUGUGGUCUCGCCAACUUCUUGACACGUUUUUUAGGAUGGGAAGCAUCGCCAGCCAUUUCAGUCUCUGGGCGAGACCGUUUGCUCAGCAAAGUCGGUGAAGAGGUCUCAGUUUUCUUUAGUAAAAGGGCAAGUUUUUUCUUGCCCAUAGCUGUAGCUGCUGCGUCCACAUGGCUACCUGAAAAAGCUACAAUCAAAUCAGAGAGUUUGAACAAAUGGCCAAAGUGAAAUGAUAUACGCAGACAAAUACCUUGAGCCGUUUCUUUGGGUGUCGGGGCGGAAGUCUUCUUUGGGUGUCGGGGCGGAAGUCUUCUUCGGGCGAUCACCAAAAAAUUUCUUGAUAACGUUUUCAACCGGUGCGCCAAAAAAGUCUUAAGUAUAUACGGCCCACCAGUCAACAAAGCUAGCAGUAUUAAGUGUUUCAAGGACUUUCGGCCGAAGAUGGAAUUUCUUGCAUCUCUCUUGAAAUUCUUGAUCGAGCUCCCUGCAUUCUCUUUUUGAAGAACCAGAGAGGCGUCCUAGGUUCAGGAGAGAACGAGAGGUGAGUAGGGGCAAUAGGCAACCUUGGAGGUAGCCAAGUUGUCGCGCGAUGAAGUGGGGUUGGUAGAUUUCCCAACUUGCACGUUUAGCAUCGCAGCCAAGAGGAAGGUCGCGUGUUACCACAAAUGAUCCCUAACUCUUUCGAAGGACAGCGUCUUCAGCUUCAUUCCAUGCCAAAGAUGGGAGCUUGAUGGAAGGGGGUAUUCUUGACGACGACAUAUCAAAAAAUCAUCAUCAGAAAGGUCUUCUAGGUCGAAAAAGUAUUUAAAAACUUCUUCGACCAAGUGAGGAGGAGCAGCUCUAGAGCCCAAUUGUAGACCUAACGCUUCAGUAGGUCUAAAGUUGGGGACUUCAAGCCUCCUGAGGAUGGCAAAAUAGACUUGCAGACAAAGUUGAAGAACCCAAAGUGGGCCGAUCUGGUAGGGGUCAAUCUUGUUGAUCGUCGUCUCGGCUAGGCAACGUGUGAGGUUGGCGUGGAUAGCCGAGCUAAGAGCCAGGACAUGACCACUGGCUAAUGCCUCAGCAACCGGCAUGUUCUCGACUAAACAUUUAUUUGACUUGGUAUAACAAAUGAAUUUGUUGUACCAGUAGAAAAUGAAGGCUUUGUGUUCUCCCUUCCUUAGGUUUUCUUCCCAUCAGCCAGCGAAGUGUUGAAUGAGGGUGUUGUAGUUGAAGAAGUUCUUGUGCAACUUCUGAACUUCUUCUUUCAAAGGCUUUUAAUUUUUCUUCCUCAGCGACUCGAUCGUGCAUUUGUCAAAGAGCAUCUUGAGGUCGAGGUUGGAUGGGUACCUAAAAAGGAAAACAUCAAUCGGGAGACCUGAAGGAGAGGUCCCGAGGAUGGCUGAGAUGUCAAGAAUAGUGGGGCUAAUAGGGCUGAGCGGAAUGACCAUAGUAUUGGUGGGCGAGCGCCAAAAGCCUAGAACUGCCAUGAGAAGUUCUUUGUCCAUGGUGAUCUCAAUGGUCGAGAGCUUGAUGGUAUCAUAAAUGCCGAGAAUCUUCCACUCCUUGGUAAAGAAUUUCUUCAUCCUUUCAACCCACGCUACCUAGGCCACGGUAGUUGAAGACUGGGCUCCUUGGGGUUUAGUCAAUUCCCACUUCGACCAGUCAUAUCCUUGAAGCAGGGGUUCCAUGAAGUGAUAUUUGAGGAGGUUGGUAAUGGAUGCUGGGACAUUGUCUUUGAAGAGUGGUCCAGGAUCUGGUGAGAAACGCUCGAGCCACCUUCGAAUCGCAGGUUUUUUAUGGCACUUCGGUCAAUAAAGUCCCGGCACUUGGCACAUUCGUCGGAAAGCUUGGAGAUGAAGGUGUUGAGAGCCAUUGUGGAGGCCUCAAAGGAAUUUCUGGAUUCCAUAGAGUUUCUCUGGUUAGAAAUGGAGCUUUGAAGGAUGAUCUGAGAGUAAAAUGUCUAAGAGUUCUGAAGGUGUGAAUGAAAAGAUGAAGGAUUUUGAGUAUUUAUAGGGGUUUCGGAAGAAGGCCAAUCAUUUGAUUUUGAAAAGAAAGGGUAAGACUAGUCAGACAGUUUUACAAUCAUCAUGGAGAUUCGAGAAAUCCAUAUGAAAAGACCAAGAAACUCGCAGAUCGAGGCUACAUGAUGGCAUGUGAUGGCGAAUUCAAUGAUGAGAAGACGUUUGAUUAUGUGCAUAACUCAAACAGGCCUAAAAAUUCGUAGUUCGAGGUUAUAAUGAUGGCUUAUGGUAGGGUUUUAGGGUUUAAGAAAACGUUCCAGUGUUAAGGACGAACAUGCCAAGAAGAUGCCACGUGGCAAGGUGUCUGACAAAAUUAAGAUAGUGUGAUCAUGCCUCAUAAAUGUGCCUGAUGCAUGGAAUAUUUGAAACUUUUCAUCAUCCUUUAAAGAUACCUUUAGGGUUCACUUCUUCAAGGUCGAAACUCGGCUGAAGAGUUAUGGGCCGAAAACCUCAGAAGUGAGGGGGCAAUGUUUGGACCCAAAAUAAUAUUAUUGAGCCGAGCGAAGGUUUAUGUUUGGUCCAAAGCUUUUCCAAAAAUACCAUGGGCCGUCUAAUGGUCAUAAGCCGCCCAGUUAGGUCGGUCGAGUCCUAUUCCAAGAAGGUUUAGAUUGGAUAAGAGCGGAUGGGUCGAGUCCUGGUAUGAUAAGGAGUCUUAAUGGAAUGAGGAUGCUGAGAUUUGAGAAGUAAAUGCGGCCGGAUAAAGAGUUUGGUUCAAAGUCCUAAUGGAGGUGGGAUUGGCCAAGAUGUGGUUAGAUUAGGAUAAAAAAUCCUAAUCCGGGUAUAGUUCUAGUUCGACCAUGAUAAGGUUGGUUGCUAUAAAUAAGGGAGGGGUGCAUUAUUCUAAGCCCUCCAACUCAACACACAAACUGCCUUGUGUAAACUCUCGCUCUAUGCGAAACCUCUCAACAACCUUGAGAUUUUUAUUUUCUUUUUCGCCAACACAUCUUCAAUUUGGAUAAACAGCAUUAUGAAGGCAACCGGCGAACACCUUUAGUUUGGAUAAAUAGCAAUAUUGCCGUAGAAUCAGCCGACCGCAAAGCACCUUCAGUUUGGAUAAACAACACUGCAUCGAGGUCGACUAAUUAUCUAUCCAAGUCUCGGUCAAGAAGUAUUUUCGAAUCCCUAUUGGCGAAGGUCAUCUCAUUAGCCUCUUCGGCGAGGUGAGGUGUUACGGAUUACUGGGCUUGGCUCAUUGAACACCGAGUUUUUUUAUGAUUGGAUACUCACAAUUAGGAUUUAGAGUUUGGCAUUCUGAUGGCCGAACUAUGUUUAUGAUCAAGAUGCACAUUUUCUUUGAGUACUUGUGCCCAUAUAGUUUGGUGUCAAUUCCGCGUGCUUAUAUUUUUACGAAUAUAAUCAUUGUGACUGAAUUCGGCGCCAACAAUUUGUGAACUUCGCAGAACUAGCAGCCUUGUCUUCAGGCUCUAGAACCUGAAGGCCGACACGUGUUCCUUCCUCGGUCGUAGUCGCAAGAUUAAGAAGUCAAUAGCGCGCCCAAUACAACAUCAACAAAUUUUACUCACCGGUCGAGUUGGCACGCCCCUCACACAACUGAAGGACAUAGUUAGCUUAUUAAUUACUUAGCCUACGUGCCACGUAGGCUUGGUAGUUUUUAGGGUUAACACAAGUACAUUAACAGUAUUGUACUAAUGAAUCUUAGCUAUUCAGUCUAAAAUAUUUCAAUUGAAGUAGUUUGUCAUACUAAUUAAUAUUUAAGAUAAAGUUUAUAAAUAUUUAUCUUUUAAAAAUAAAGUAUAUUUAGUAAUUCACCUUUAUUUGUUAAGAAAAUUAAAUGAAUGGCACAUCUAAUAUUAUACCCUUUUGGAUCAUUUCACACAGUCACAGUUGUUUUACAUAAACGUUUACCAAACACUAUCAUACUGCUUUUUUUCUCAAAAGCACUUUAACCAAAAAGUUUACCAAACACUAUGCUGCUUUAUUUCACAACUGAUUAUUCUCACAGCCAGUGGCGAAGCCACGUGAGGGCGAGGAGUGGAGGCAGCCACUCCCCUCGCCAGAAAACAGGACUGGAUCUCUGGGCCAGCCCCUCCCCUCACUGGAUAACCCACUGGUUCAGCUGUCCCUGCUUCGGUGAUGUCUGGGUUUGCUGCGCGUAGCAGUAGACUAAGUUUGAAUUUUUUUAUAAACAUCCAGGCCAAAACGACGUCAUUUUGGUUCUGGUAAAAAAAAUUAAAAAAAUAAUUGAAAUAGCGCCUGCAGUUUCGUACUUUACAAAAUAAAAAAUAUAUAUAUUGGGGGAUUGGGUGUCCCCUUUCACUUUCAAUCCCUCUCACCACUCAUACCUCAGUGCUGCCGUGUCCUUCCCCUUUGAAGGAUGAUUUUGCGAAAACAUGUUCAUUUAAGCAACAUCUAUAAGCAUGCAAUUAACAAUUAAAGGCGGAAUCAUGCUUGCAUGCACUUAAAAACAAAACAUUAACCAAGAAAUUCAAAGCCUAGUAGAUUGGUGAACCAAAACUCAACUCAAAACAAAGUGAGUUGAAAUUGUACCUUUGUAGAUUCCUCUUUGCAUAAGCAAAGGCUAAUCACCCAAAGAGAGGGCCUUCAUUCCUUGCAUCUAAAAUCUAUGGAUUUGGAUGGAUGAAAAGGUUUCUCCAAGUUCCCAAAAUUGAGAACCUCUAAGUCUCCACACCAAGGAGAGAUUGGAGAAGAAAAUGAGUGACCUUGGAGUAGUAGUAUGGCUAGAUACACCCUCCAAGGGGCCGGCCUCUUUAGAGAGAAAUGGAGAGACAUGUUCUCUCCAAUUUUCUCCAAAACAAACCCUUAAUGAAUUUUGGCUAUAAAGUCAUAUUUAUACCUUUAUUCAUUUGAGUGGCAAACUUAUAAUUAAAGCAAGUUCACUACCCUACCUCUAAAUGGCCGGCCAUAGGGUUUUGUUUGGGCUUUUGGGCCUUUGUGAAUUAAGUUGUCAUACAACUUAAGUCAAUGGACUUGACGUUCGAAGCCCAUUGGGCCUUGAGGCCCAAAACUAACCCGUGGUCUUUUAACGAACUUUAUUCAUUUGACUAAUUAACAUAUUAAUUAAUCCUUGCCAUAAAUAAAUAAUUAAACCAUUUAAUCAUUCUUUCUCAUCUCCAUUGUUUCUUCAAUCUCCACCUUACACGGUGUACGAUCCAUUAGGUUCCUUUUAGCGAGGCAGUGGGCGAUUAGAACUCUUUCAAAUCGAUUGUGAAUUGAAACUUACUUUCAAUUCUCCCUUUAGUGAUUACACACGUUUAGGGCUUCCACAAACCAUGAGUGACACCUAGCAGCAUAUCAUGGUUACCCAAGCUAAUCAGAAGAGGUGAAGAACCUAUUCAGUUUGGGAUUACAAAUGCAAUACGGUCUUUCUCUAAUACAAUACUCUUGACCACAUUGUUUGGUUUGAUAGUUUAUUUAUUCAUGUCUACUAUCCAAUGUGAUUCGUGUGCUUAUAUGAUUACCUUGAAUGUGAUUUAGAACGACUUUUCUAAAUCUCAUUCAUACUCUGGCCAAAGAUUAUAAAUCAUAUCAUAGAGUAUUCUCCCCCAACGGUUUGAAGGUUAGAGAUCCCUUGUUGCGCAUUCACUUGUCUCCAUGACUAAGUGGCUUAACCCCAAUGAUGCCGUGGACACCCCAAUGGGGUGACUUUGACAUAAUCAAAGAUCAAGUACUUAACCACAAGACAACUGUGAUGCCUCAGGUCAUAGGACUACUUUGCAUUAUCCCAACCAUGAGUUCUCAUGUGACAUGAAUAUGAGAACUCUUCGUCGAUUGUGUUCAGUGAACUCAUUCUCUAUUGAGCACCUACGUACUUGACUUGAUGUCACACACACCACUGACUCGAGACUAGUCACUCUCCCUGAGAGAAGACACAGCACGUACUGAUCUUAACGGACUGUCAAUGCCCAAUUGGCAAUCCUAUGAUCAGGAACAUUUAGGAUGUGUCUACGAAAGAAUGGUCUCAUGAAUCUAACUUCUUUAGAUCGUAUUCUCCCAAUCACAUAUUCCUUGGACUUUAUCGUUUAAGCAUAUAACAUUUAUAUGAGACGGCUCAAACAAUAAUCUUUGCCCUUGAUAUUAAACUUAGAUUAGUUUAACAUGUGAAAUGUCCGUAAAGCAUCAUCAUAUGAUUGGCUUUAGGGCACAUUUCCAACAAUCUCCCACUUGCACUAGAGCCAAUCAGCUUGAUCAUCAGUGAUGAUACCUCUUCUGUAGUCAUUUCAUAAAUGGCUGAAUAAUAGGCCUAGACAAUGGAUAUCUAUAUGUUAUCCAUAGAAGCAACCUUGAGAAUAACGACGUCACCAUUAUACAUGAUUCUCAAUCAUGUGGUUCAGUCUUUCAUAUGAGUUCGGAUCUUGAUGAGACCUUGAUUCCCUGGCUUGAGCUAUCGCCCCAUUAGUGUCAUAGUGUCAGUACACUAGAUACACUUUCUGGUUGGAACCGAAUAGAGAGUUCAUAAAUGAACUUUCCCAUCCAAACAACAUUGUUGUAAGCUUCUAUAUGGCAAUAUAUUUUGCAUUCAUAAUGGAACACACUAAAGUCAUUACUUUUAAUGUUUCUAUCCAAAUAUCUCUUUAGUCAUAAUAAAGAGAUAUCUGAUUACCUCUUCAUUCAUAAUGAAGAAACAUCCAAUGAUGGAUUAGAUUCAUAAUCUAAUACAUUUACGCUUCCUUUACGUUGCUCUAAUUCUUCCUCAUUCUUUGAGGAAUCUAUCCUUUUGUAUUUCUUAAAUACUUAAGGACUCACUUGACAGUUGCCAUGGUUCUGAUCCUGGGCUUGCACUGAUAUCGUCUUGUACCGUUCUAGGUACAACUCAUAUCAAUGUUUUUCAUACAAUAUGAAAUACAUAAAUCACCUUUAUGCGUAUGCAUAAAGGAUUCUAUUUACGCAUUAUUUCUUUGGGAGUCAAAGGGUACGUUCUCUUUGAAAAGAGCAACUUCUUAGUCUCACUAGAGUUGUCCUUUUGAUUGAAGUUCAUCAUCAUAUGAGAAACUUCCUAUCAUCUUUUGUCUAUUAUUUAGGGCUUGAUAUAAUCCAAUUAUAUCCUAAAAUCUAUCAUUAUAGAUUUCCAUCCCAUGUUUAUAGACUAUGUCUCCCAUAUACAUUCUAUCUUUAUAGAAUGUUUAAAGUCAUAACUUUAACGAAGAAGCUUUCUUUUCAUUUCCAAAAUUAAUAUAUCAUAUAUAUUUUAAAUUUUAGGAACAUGAUUACCUCCUGUAUACAUUCUAUCGUUAUAGAAUAUUUAAAGUCAUAACUUUAACGAAGAAGUAUUCUUUUCAUUUCCAAAAUUAAUAUAUCAAAUAUAUAUUUAAAUUUUAGGAACAUGAUUAACUCCCACUAAUCUUUUGUAAACCUAGUAAACAAAAGAUUCAUUUACAUCUUUAUGAGAAAUUAAAUGAUUUGAUCCUUUUUCUCAUAAGAUGGUCAUAGCUCCCACUAGCUUGCUAAGAUUCAUGAUGGAUGGAUCUCUACAACUUACAUGUCUUGUGAUUUAUAGUUUUAGACAUAUAUUAUCAAGACUAUCUUAAUAAUGGUUUCGGAAACCCAUAUAAUGUCCAAACAUUGAAUCACAAUUUAGUUGUAGCUAGCAAUCUUUGAAUUAAUUGAAACCUAGACUAUCUCAAAGAUGGUUUCUUCAAAGUCAACCAUUCUCUUUGAUUGUAGUCACCUUAAGCUACCAAUCAGCUUAUGAAGGUUUCAUUAUUUCGGGUCAAAUGGUACUUUACCAUUUCCUUGAGUAUAUAUCGUAUAUACACUCAAUUUUCAUUCUUAUUUCUUUCGAAUUAAGAGGUGUAACUCUAUGACAUAGUCAUAAAGUUCAAACCAUUCAACUUAGACGGUUUAUAAAUCCUUCUCGACUACCUUGGAGCUUUUGGUAUAGGAACUAGGUUGUUUAUAUUUGUUGAUUACUUUCUUGUCUCUCAAAGAACCCAUUCUUUGAGUUCUAUCUCUCGUUCAUUUGCUUUUAGGCAAAUCACAUUGUAGGAUUACAAUGAACUACCCAACAAAACAACAUUUGUUAGUUGGUUUAUAGAAGUGAUAUCCAAAAGUUAAUUUAAGGAUAUCCCACAAGAUUGUUAUCAAACAAAUAUUGCAUAUUAGCACACAACCCCAAAUCUUAACGUGCUUGAGAUUUGUCUUUCUUUCCAACUACAUCUUAUGGAGUCAUGAAAAAUUUGGAAGAUCUUCUAAUUGACAAUCAUAUUGUUUUUAGAAGUAUAUAUCCUAUAUAUGGGUAAUAGAUAACAUCUAACGAACUAAAUCUUAUUCGAGUUCGUUCUUCUCCUUAAUGGAGAAAUCUAUUAUCUUAUGAUGCUAUUUUCCUUGAUAUCUUUCAAGGAAACUGUUCUAAAGUGUUACCUUAUCUUGGAUCAAAUCUCAGGAGGUAAAUACUUUAGACGUCUUACUCAUCAACUUACAUUACUUGAAUUCUUUGAAACCUUUUGCAAAGUAUUCGGACUUGUGUUUAUUUAAAAUAAACUAUAGUCCAGCCGAGGGUGAUCUUCGGUGAAUGUCAUACAACAUGAGUAGUAUUAUGUAACAAAGAAACAAGCACUAAGUGUUUGCAUUGACUAAGGGUUGUUCAAAGCAACUCCUAUUUCUUCAUACAACAAAUUGUAAUUGAAUAAUUAUGACAUUAAAAGUGUUGUCCUCUUUAUGAUAGACCUUUUCUAACAUAAUCUUCUAAUGAUACAUUAUCAAUAGGAAGAUUGUGAGGAAGAGAGUACUUAGGUACAUUUACAAGCCAUUAUAGACAAUCUAUGGUUUUGUAGUACCAAGUCCGGAAACUAAACUUUCGGCUUUUAUUUGUCAAGUGUUGGAUAGCGUUUGCAAAUAUAUUGGUAAACAAAUACAUAACGAAUAUAAAUUGAUUGAUUUUAAGCCAUUUGAUUCGGGUCUUUAAAUCAAAAUAGCACCACCCACUAUUUUUGGCAAAUUCCAUAUCCCUCAUUGGAAUUCGAGAGUUUUGGAUGAAACUCUUAGUAGGGUAUGGGAGGCUCACUAUUACCAAGCCCACCUCAGAAUUAUAUCAUGUUGGCUAGCGUUAAUAAUAAUGAGAGAGUACGCUUACUCAUUUGCAUCUCUUGCAAGUACCCAUCUAAUUUGGCCUCUAGAAAAUGAUGCCUCAGAAUUAUAUCAUGUUGGCGUCAUUGUACUUAGUUAAGUCAUUCCCACCAUGCGUAGUUUGUGUAGGGGUUCAAGCAUAGCCUCAGAAUUAUAUCAUGUUGGCUAAACUUGUUGCCUACCUCACUUCAUCAUGUAUGUAUACAGAACUCCUCCUGAGUGUAAGCACGCACUUUGUACUCCCCAUUAUAGGGUGAAGCCGGUGUACGAGUCACAAACGAUCGGAGCCUACCAUGGUGGAAGGCCUCGAAAGAGUGUUCAAAGUACUCUCAUGCUUAUCAACUUAAUAAUGGUUUGGUUGAGGGUUUUUAGGUCUCAUCACAUAUAAACAUACAUUUUAAUCUCUAUUAAAACAAUUUUGGUCAUAUUACAACUAUUGGUCCAUUUGAUUGUUUUAGUUGUAUAUAAUACUCCCACUAUGCUUAUAAAACGGUUUUUCAAGCAAGAGUAUAUGAUACUACUAACAUAAGGUUUGCAUUCAUUGAUGGACUAUAUAGUUGCCUUAGGGCCUUAGGAUGACUAUGAACCUUUGUUUAGAUUCAACACGAGCCUUGUGUUGAAUCUCGGUCUAGGGAUGGUGAUUGAUUUUAGUUACGCGUUUAAUCAUAUUAAGACGUGUUGUCUUAGGGGCGUUGGACCCAACUACUUCAUUUUCAUGCAUAUCAAAUAAAGCAAGAAAGAAGUACUUCAAAGUAAAGGUGAGCUUAUGCUCAUUACAACAUUUGCAUAAAACAAAUUACCUUAAAGUAAAGAAGGGCUUAUGCCCUUUUACAACAUUUGAUCAAAUCAAAUUACAACCAAAAUCUAAUCUACACAUUCCCAUGGUUCAAACAAAUUUGAAACGGCCUUUCACAUAGCUCAAUUAUAUUAGGCUUAGGUUCAUAAUCAUCCUUUAAUUAAUUAACACUUUAACUAAUUAAAUUGAAUGCAACAUUUUCAUUUGGUUUUUGUAUCCAUAAAAUUGAUUUAAAUGGAGCUAAAUGAAAUGAAAAUCCAAUUCUCAUUUAAAGAGACAAAACAAUUUUGUUCUCUACCUAUUUGGGCCAUCAUGCAAUAACCACAACUUUUUGGGCAAUAUUGCGAAAACAUAAACUUUUGGGGUCACUUUGUAAGAACACAAAAGUCCACUACUUCAUGUAAUUACACUAGAACCCAAAAUUUAAACAAUGCAAAAACUUCAUUAAAGGAGCAAAACAAUUUGUCCUUUAGCGUUUUUGGACCUACACGUAAAAACGUAAACCUUUGGGCCAAAGCGCAAAUACACAAAAGUAUCAAAACUUUAUGUAAUUGCAUAAAAGCCCCAAAAGUACCCCCACUAGGGGGUGGCCGGUUUUGGAAGAAGAAAUGGAGUGAUGUGUGUGUUGAUUUGUGAGUUUUGACAUAAAGCAAUCAAGUGGUGCAAGUGGUGUGUGUGAAAGGAAAUUAAUCCUUACACACCCACCAAUAUCUCUUACACCAUUUAAACAAAUAUCUAAAACAUUUAAACAUUUGAAAAAAAACAUAAAACAUAAACUUUAUGAAAUAAAUCAAAACUUUGAAUCAAAACACAAAACUUUUUGUUCUUGGCUAAAAUGUCAAGAACAAUGAAGAACAUUCAUGAAAAACUCAAAAAAUUUCCAUGAACAUUUUUCACCCAAAAAACAUUCCAAAACCAUUCAAACUUUAGGGAAAUAACAUAUAACCAAACUAGGGUACAUAGGGGUUCCAAAAGUCACUUGAAAACACUUUUAACAAGUCAAACAAGAACCCAAAAAUCCACCCUUUGGAUUUGGCCGAAAAUCCCCAAAAUCAUGGCACCAAAUUUUAGCUCCAAUAUUCAUGCUCAUAUGAACUACAUCUACAACAUUUGAGAUGGCAAAUUUUCUAACAAAAUUUACAUUCAAAGAAACAAGAAUAAAGCUUGUAACAUAUUACAGCUUUUAAAUCAAAACUAUGAACUACAAAACCCAAAAGGAUUCACCAACUACUAGACCUAGGCUCUGAUACCACUUGAAGGAUGAUUUUGUGAAAACAUGUUCAUUUAAACAA